rnacentral:rRNA from 1 species
AUUAAAGAGGCUCCUCUGGGGCCUUGCGUAAAACUAGGAAUAUGUCCUAUUAGGUAGUUGGCGGGGUAAAGGCCCACCAAGCCAAUGAUGGGUAGCUGGACUGAGAGGUUGAACAGCCGCAAUGGGAUUGAGAUAUGGCCCAUAUUCCUACGGGAAGCAGCAGUGAGGAAUUUUUCACAAUGGACGAAAGUCUGAUGGAGCAAUACCACGUGAACAAUGAAGGUCUUCUGAUUGUAAAGUUCUUUUAUUUAGGAAAAAAAGCGUGUUAGGAAAUGAGCGCGCCUUGAUGGUACUAAUUGAAUAAGUGACAGCUAACUAUGUGCCAGCAGCUGCGGUAAAACAUAGGUCACGAGCAUUAUCCUGAUUUAUUGGGCGUAAAGGAAGCGUAGGCGUGGAGGUUGAUCCAUUGUUAAAAGCAUUUGCUUAACAAAUGUGUGCAUUGGAGAUCGCCUCCCUAGAGUUAAUCAGGGGGUACUGGAAUUCAAUGUGUAGCGGUGGAAUGCGUAGAUAUAUUGAGGAACACCAGAGGCUAAGGCGAGUGCCUAGGAUAUAACUGACGCUGAGGCUUGAAAGCGUGGGGAGCAAAUGGGAUUAGAUACCCCAGUAGGCCACGCCGUAAACGAUGAGCAUUGGGCAUUUGACAU